UACGGGGGGGGCAAGCGUUGUUCGGAAUUACUGGGCGUAAAGGGCUCGUAGGCGGCCAACUAAGUCAGACGUGAAAUCCCUCGGCUUAACCGGGGAACUGCGUCUGAUACUGGAUGGCUUGAGUGUGGGAGAGGGAUGCGGAAUUCCAGGUGUAGCGGUGAAAUGCGUAGAUAUCUGGAGGAACACCGGUGGCGAAGGCGGCAUCCUGGACCAAUUCUGACGCUGAGGAGCGAAAGCCAGGGGAGCAAACGGG
rnacentral:rRNA from 1 species